rnacentral:rRNA from 1 species
GUGGGGAAUAUUGCACAAUGGGGGAAACCCUGAUGCAGCGAUGCCGCGUGGAGGAAGAAGGUUUUCGGAUUGUAAACUCCUUUUAUCAGGGACGAUAAUGACGGUACCUGAAGAAAAAGCUCCGGCUAACUACGUGCCAGCAGCCGCGGUAAUACGUAGGGAGCGAGCGUUGUCCGGAAUUACUGGGUGUAAAGGGAGCGUAGGCGGGACGGUAAGUCAGAUGUGAAAUAUACGUGCUCAACAUGUAGACUGCAUUUGAAACUGCUGUUCUUGAGUGAAGUAGAGGUAAGCGGAAUUCCUAGUGUAGCGGUGAAAUGCGUAGAUAUUAGGAGGAACAUCGGUGGCGAAGGCGGCUUACUGGGCUUUUACUGACGCUGAGGCUCGAAAGCGUGGGGAGCAAACAGGAUUAGAAACCCUAGUAGUCC